CCUACGGGAGGCAGCAGUGGGGAAUAUUGCACAAUGGGGGAAACCCUGAUGCAGCAACGCCGCGUGAAGGAUGACGGUUUUCGGAUUGUAAACUUCUUUUCUUAGUGACGAAGACAGUGACGGUAGCUAAGGAAUAAGCAUCGGCUAACUACGUGCCAGCAGCCGCGGUAAUACGUAGGAUGCAAGCGUUAUCCGGAUUUACUGGGUGUAAAGGGAGCGCAGGCGGGACUGCAAGUUGGAUGUGAAAUACCGUGGCUUAACCACGGAACUGCAUCCAAAACUGUAGUUCUUGAGUGAAGUAGAGGCAAGCGGAAUUCCGAGUGUAGCGGUGAAAUGCGUAGAUAUUCGGAGGAACACCAGUGGCGAAGGCGGCUUGCUGGGCUUUAACUGACGCUGAGGCUCGAAAGUGUGGGGAGCAAACAGGAUUAGAUACCCUGGUAGUCCACACUGUAAACGAUGAUAGCUAGGUGUGGGGGGUCUGACCCCUUCCGUGCCGGAGUUAACGCAAUAAGCUAUCCACCUGGGGAGUACGACCGCAAGGUUGAAACUCAAAGGAAUUGACGGGGGCCCGCACAAGCAGUGGAGUAUGUGGUUUAAUUCGAAGCAACGCGAAGAACCUUACCAGGUCUUGACAUCCGAUGCAUAGUGCAGAGAUGCAUGAAGUCCUUCGGGACAUCGAGACAGGUGGUGCAUGGUUGUCGUCAGCUCGUGUCGUGAGAUGUUGGGUUAAGUCCCGCAACGAGCGCAACCCCUAUUGUUAGUUGCUACGCAAGAGCACUCUAGCGAGACUGCCGUUGACAAAACGGAGGAAGGUGGGGACGACGUCAAAUCAUCAUGCCCCUUAUGUCCUGGGCUACACACGUAAUACAAUGGCGGUCAACAGAGGGAUGCAAAAUCGCAAGAUGGAGCGAACCCCUAAAAGCCGUCCCAGUUCAGAUUGUGGGCUGCAACCCGCCCACAUGAAGUCGGAAUCGCUAGUAAUCGCGGAUCAGCAUGCCGCGGUGAAUACGUUCCCGGGCCUUGUACACACCGCCCGUCACACCAUGAGAGUCGGGAACACCCGAAGUCCGUAGCCUAACCGCAAGGGGGGCGCGGCCGAAGGUGGGUUCGAUAAUUGGGGUGAAGUCGUAACAAGGUAGCCGUUCGAGAACGAGCGGCUG
rnacentral:rRNA from 1 species